GAUGAACGCUGGCGGCGUGCUUAACACAUGCAAGUCGAACGAAGCACUUUAUUUGAUUUCCUUCGGGACUGAUUAUUUUGUGACUGAGUGGCGGACGGGUGAGUAACGCGUGGGUAACCUGCCUUGUACAGUGGGAUAACAGUUGGAAACGGCUGCUAAUACCGCAUAAGCGCACGGCAUCGCAUGAUGCAGUGUGAAAAACUCCGGUGGUAUAAGAUGGACCCGCGUUGGAUUAGCUAGUUGGUGAGGUAACGGCCCACCAAGGCGACGAUCCAUAGCCGACCUGAGAGGGUGACCGGCCACAUUGGGACUGAGACACGGCCCAAACUCCUACGGGAGGCAGCAGUGGGGAAUAUUGCACAAUGGGCGAAAGCCUGAUGCAGCGACGCCGCGUGAGCGAGGAAGUAUUUCGGUAUGUAAAGCUCUAUCAGCAGGGAAGAUAAUGACGGUACCUGACUAAGAAGCACCGGCUAAAUACGUG
rnacentral:rRNA from 1 species